UUAAAGCGGCACUGUCAUGCCGAAUCCCGUUUUUUUUAACCCCCCUCCCGCCUCCACUACAUCCAAUUGACCCACUAGUCACCCCCAAAUGCCCCUAAGCCCCCCACAUUACCUAUUUUUAAUCCUUAUUUUCUGCCCCGAUCUUGAUUCAGGGCGCCGCCAUCUUUGUGUGGGUAGAUGAAGUCCCUGUGGGACACGUCAUCAGCCCACACUAGACAGACUGUGAGAUUCC